rnacentral:tRNA from 1 species
UCCCUGGUAGCUGAGCUGGUAAAGAAUCCGCCUGCAAUGCAGGAGACCCUGGUUUGAUUCCUGGGUUGGGAA